rnacentral:rRNA from 1 species
UACGUAGGGUGCAAGCGUUGUCCGGAAUUAUUGGGCGUAAAGAGCUCGUAGGCGGUCUGUUGCGUCGGGUGUGAAAACCCGAGGCUCAACCUCGGGCCUGCAGCCGAUACGGGCAGACUAGAGUUCGGCAGGGGAGACUGGAAUUCCUGGUGUAGCGGUGAAAUGCGCAGAUAUCAGGAGGAACACCGGUGGCGAAGGCGGGUCUCUGGGCAAUUCCUGACGCUGAGGCGCGAAAGCGUGGGGAGCAAACGGG